GUCCCAGUAGCUAAAACUUAACUUAAAGCAUUGGCCUUGUAAACCAAAGACGGGUACGACCCCUGGGUCA
rnacentral:tRNA from 1 species